UACAGAGGUCCCAAGCGUUGUUCGGAUUCACUGGGCGUAAAGGGUGCGUAGGUGGUGAGGUAAGUCGGAUGUGAAAGCUCGGAGCUCAACUCCGAAAUGGCAUUGGAAACUACCUUGCUCGAGGGUUGGAGGGGGGACUGGAAUACUUGGUGUAGCAGUGAAAUGCGUAGAUAUCAAGUGGAACACCAGUGGCGAAGGCGAGUCCCUGGACCGAUACUGACGCUGAGGCACGAAAGCGUGGGGAGCGAUCCGG
rnacentral:rRNA from 1 species